rnacentral:rRNA from 1 species
GAUGAACGCUGGCGGCGUGCCUAAUACAUGCAAGUCGAGCGAACAGACGAGGAGCUUGCUCCUCUGACGUUAGCGGCGGACGGGUGAGUAACACGUGGAUAACCUACCUAUAAGACUGGGAUAACUUCGGGAAACCGGAGCUAAUACCGGAUAAUAUAUUGAACCGCAUGGUUCAAUAGUGAAAGACGGUUUUGCUGUCACUUAUAGAUGGAUCCGCGCCGCAUUAGCUAGUUGGUAAGGUAACGGCUUACCAAGGCAACGAUGCGUAGCCGACCUGAGAGGGUGAUCGGCCACACUAGAACUGAGACACAGUCCAGACUCCUACGAGAGGCAGCAGUAGGGAAUCUUCCGCAAUGGGCGAAAGCCUGGCGGAGCAACGCCGCGUGAGUGAUGAAGGUCUUCAGAUCGUAAAACUCUGUUAUUAGGGAAGAACAAAUGUGUAAGUAACUAUGCACGUCUUGACGGUACCUAAUCAGAAAGCCACGGCUAACUACGUG